AUUGAACGCUGGCGGCAUGCCUUACACAUGCAAGUCGAACGGUAACGGGCCUUCGGGUGCCGACGAGUGGCGAAUGGGUGAGUAAUGCAUCGGAACGUACCAUUGAGUGGGGGAUAACGUAGCGAAAGUUACGCUAAUACCCCAUAUUCUGUGAGCAGGAAAGCAGGGGAUCGCAAGACCUUGCGCUCUUUGAGCGGCCGAUGUCGGAUUAGCUAGUUGGUGAGGUAAAGGACCACCAAGGCUAGGAUCCGUAGCGGGUCUGAGAGGAUGAUCCGCCACACGGGGACUGAGACACGGCCCAGACUCCUACGGGAGGCAGCAGUGGGGAAUUUUGGACAAUGGGGGCAACCCUGAUCCAGCCAUGCCGCGUGAGUGAAGAAGGCCUUCGGGUUGUAAAGCUCUUUCGGCCGGGAAGAAAUCGUGUGGGCUAAUACCCUGCAUGGAUGACGGUACCGGAAUAAGAAGCACCGGCUAACUACGUGCCAGCCGCCGCAGUAA
rnacentral:rRNA from 1 species